GAUACUUGCGAGCAUUCGAUCACAAAAUCACAUAGCUUUGGCGAUUACUUAAUCAGGUAUUACAGCCACUCUAUUUGAUGGUGGAGGAACUGACCAUUCAGCAUUUAAAUUACCUCUAAAUGUUAAUGAGAAACCACAAUGCAAUGUGUAACAUAAAGAAAAAUGUAAAACAUGCUGAAGUUCUGAAAAAGUUCAAAAUUAUUAUUUGGGAUGAAUGCACAAUGGCCCAUAAGCAUUCGCUAGAAGCUCUUGACAGGACCCUGAAAGAUAUAAGAAAUAAUCGUAGGCUUUUCGGUGGUGCUCUGCUCUUGCUGUCUGGUGAUUUCAGACAAACUUUGUCUGACAUUCCACGUGCAACAUAUGCGGACGAAAUAAACGCAUGUUUGAAAGAGUCAUAUCUAUGGCGACAUGUCUGUAAAUUAAGCCUUACAAUUAAUAUGCGCGUACAACUCCAAAAUGACCCAUCGGCGUUGCGAUUUUCGGAACAAUUGCAUAACAUUUGAAAUGGUGAAUUUCAAUUGUAAGAAGAUACACAAUAUAUUAGACUUCCAGAAAACAUACAACGGUCACUACCUGGUGAUGAAUUUACAUUCAAAUCAAUUGACACUGUUGUUGAUUCGGAUGAAGUUGUCAACUAUCCUGUAGAAAUUUUUAAUUCACUGGAUUUACCUGGCAUGUCUCCACAUAACUUGCGAUGAAAAAUUGGCUCAACUAUAAUUUUGCUUCGAAACUUGAAUGCGCCAAAGUUGUGUAAUGGAACGGGAUUAUUCAUAAAAAAAAUCAUAGGCAACAUUCUUGAAGCAACUAUUGUUCCUUCAGAUUCACCUAUACCAUUCGAUUAUUAUUAAUAAGGCGCAAGGUCAAACAAUGACGAUUUGUGGACCAGAUUUAGAAAAUCCGUGCUUUUCUCACGGCCAAUCAUACGUUGCGUGGUCGAAAGUGGGGAAAACAUCGAAUUUAUUUGGUUAUACUACUUAAAGAUUAACCAAAAAUAUUGUACAUUCGAUCGCAUUACGAUGAUUUCAGAAUUUAUAAAUAACUAACACUAACAAUAAAUACCCUUUAAAAACUAGUUUAAAUUGAAACGAUUUUUUUAAUUAAACACAGCUUCUACAUAUAACAUCUCUGAACGUAUAGUAAUACACAUACUCACAUGCUGUCGAUAAUGUUUAUCACAACGGUCUCAUUGUUUACAUUUAAGACGCGUGAACAGAACAACGUCUGUCGGGUCCGCUAGUAUAAGUAUUUAUACAAUGUAAAAUCAUUGGCAGAUUAUCUGUCAGACAUACGAGUAUUCCUUAUCCAAAAUGGAAUAAUAUAUAUAUUAGAAGGGAUGUUCUUCGAGUGGCAACAGCUGGAGUGGUCCGUUAUUCUCAUCGACCGCAUCACACGUGGCUGGCUUAUUAUCGUACCAUUUCGGCAUUUUGGAUCUACAUCCACAAAACUAUUAUUUCAUUCCUUAAAUACAGUUUCUGUAGUAAGAUGAGCAACAUAUAUAUAUCGAAUGUGAUUAUUUAUUAUGAUACAGAGAGAUGUGCGUAUACGCUUUAUACAAAUAUGGCAUGACAUUUACUUUCUCAGUUGAAGACUCUUAAAGAGAAGAUGCUUUUUUUUUUACAAAAUUUCUAAGAAAUAAUAACAUAUUUUUUUAUUACAGAUUAAUUGUGAUUCCGGCCCAGUACCAAAGUUAAAAUAGAAGUUCCUUGGCUGGGGUAAGCUCAGUAUAUCCAGGGUGUCGAAAAUAAUAAGUCGCUUUUUGUCACAACAAAGUGUUUUUUUUAUUAGUUCACAUACAUCCAACUAGACAACCUUUUACGUUACUCUCGUAAAGAUCGUGAUCGGUGACCGGUCUUUCCUAAUACACUCUACUGCUGUCGUAAAAGAUGCGGAGGUGAAACUCUCUCCACUAAACUUUGUUAAACUAAGUAACCACUCCGUUGAAUAUAUAUAAUAUAUAUACUGAGUACUCAUGAAGUGGAAACCCUCAGGUGUAUUACUUUUGUCGGCAAUAUACACGGACAAGUAUACCUAGCGUCCAUCUGCUGGCUAAUUAAAUUGUUCAACUAUAAUCGCUCUUUUAAUGCCUUACUGGCAGGCAGAAAUCUAUUUUAUAAUAACAAUUAUUGUAAUAAACAUUUCUCUUUGUUCA